AGUGAACGCUGGCGGUAGGCCUAACACAUGCAAGUCGGACGGCAGCACAGUAAGAGCUUGCUCUUACGGGUGGCGAGUGGCGGACGGGUGAGGAAUACAUCGGAAUCUACUUUUUCGUGGGGGAUAACGUAGGGAAACUUACGCUAAUACCGCAUACGACCUACGGGUGAAAGCAGGGGAUCUUCGGGCCUUGCGCGAUUGAAUGAGCCGAUGUCGGAUUAGCUAGUUGGCGGGGUAAAGGCCCACCAAGGCGACGAUCCGUAGCUGGUCUGAGAGGAUGAUCAGCCACACUGGAACUGAGACACGGUCCAGACUCCUACGGGAGGCAGCAGUGGGGAAUAUUGGACAAUGGGCGCAAGCCUGAUCCAGCCAUACCGCGUGGGUGAAGAAGGCCUUCGGGUUGUAAAGCCCUUUUGUUGGGAAAGAAAAGCAGCAGGUUAAUACCCCGCUGUUCUGACGGUACCCAAAGAAUAAGCACCGGCUAACUUCGUG
rnacentral:rRNA from 1 species